GACGAACGCUGGCGGCGUGCUUAACACAUGCAAGUCGAACGGAAAGGCCCUGCUUUUGUGGGGUGCUCGAGUGGCGAACGGGUGAGUAACACGUGAGUAACCUGCCCUUGACUUUGGGAUAACUUCAGGAAACUGGGGCUAAUACCGGAUAGGAGCUCCUGCUGCAUGGUGGGGGUUGGAAAGUUUCGGCGGUUGGGGAUGGACUCGCGGCUUAUCAGCUUGUUGGUGGGGUAGUGGCUUACCCAGGCUUUGACGGGUAGCCGGCCUGUGAGGGUGACCGGCCACAAUGGGACUGAGAGACGGCCCAGACUCCUACGGGAGGCAGCAGUGGGGAAUAUUGCACAAUGGGCGGAAGCCUGAUGCAGCAGCGCCGCGUGCGGGAUGACGGCCUUCGGGUUGUAAACCGCUUUCGCCUGUGACGAAGCGUGAGUGACGGUAAUGGGUAAAGAAGCACCGGCUAACUACGUG
rnacentral:rRNA from 1 species